rnacentral:rRNA from 1 species
UACGUAGGGGGCAAGCGUUGUCCGGAAUCAUUGGGCGUAAAGAGCGUGUAGGCGGCUCGGUAAGUCCGCUGUAAAAGUCCAGGGCUCAACCCUGGAAAGCCGGUGGAAACUGUCGAGCUAGAGUCCGGAAGAGGCGAGUGGAAUUCCUGGUGUAGCGGUGAAAUGCGCAGAUAUCAGGAGGAACACCAAUGGCGAAGGCAGCUCGCUGGGACGGUACUGACGCUGAGACGCGAAAGCGUGG